UACGUAGGGAGCAAGCGUUGUCCGGAAUCAUUGGGCGUAAAGCGCGUGUAGGCGGCCAGGUAAGUCCGUUCUGAAAGCCCGGGGCUCAACCCCGGGAGGCGGAUGGAUACUGCUUGGCUCGAGUCCGGAAGAGGCGAGUGGAAUUCCCGGUGUAGCGGUGAAAUGCGCAGAUAUCGGGAGGAACACCAAUGGCGAAGGCAGCUCGCUGGGACGGUACUGACGCUGAGACGCGAAAGCGUGGGGAGCAAACAGG
rnacentral:rRNA from 1 species